CUCUCCUUCUCCAAAAGGCCGAGGAGAACAAGUUGGCUCCCUCCUAUUCUCCUCUCGCUCUCGCUCUCUCUCUCUCGCGAAGCGGACUCCACUACCUCGAAGACCCCUAUGGUGCUAGGGAUGGCUAAGAACCUCCUUCCCACAAAGGAAACGAGUCUGUCAUGGCACAGAUACCUUGUGUAGUAAGGGAUUGGACCUCGUCGAAUGUUUGGUGGCCCUCUUUCGUCUUGGACUUACCCCCAGCCGGACGUGUCACACGCUGCUCAGUGCUACCUCGAAGAUAGAGUGUACGUUUACCACGAGGUUUCCUAAGUGGAAACGGCCUAUCAAACGAAGCACUACGAGCGUAGGAGAUAACACGAAGAGGACGGUACCCAGUAUUGUUCCUUCGUGUAGGUCUUAGUUUGUUUUCUCACGGUCGUUAUCAACUACGAGAGCUUUUUAACCUCGAAUGUGGUUUCGUAGCCCCAAGUGUCCAAGAACUUUAGGUUUUAAAGAUGGGACGAAGUGAACUACUACAACGUGCUCAAGUAAGUUCUUGUAUGUAGUGACCUGAGCUUUUCCGAUACUCAUUCCGAAACCUACUUCCAAACUAUAAGUAGCUUCCUUGACCUGGUUGUAUACGAUGUGUCUGAUGAAAGCGUCUUAGUGAAGAAAGUCGACCACGACCUUAAUGUAACCAACUAAGUCACACGAGCAAAGGGUUCUUUACAACAUACAAAAGGAUCCAACGGCGUAGUUUCGACCCGGAUUCAGGUGGAGAACCUAAACGCGAUUAUUCCGGUGGGCCUGUGGUACGACAAGGACUUCCAGGGUACCCGAAAACGCAGAAACCCUUGUAACGUCAACGUCGAGCCAUGCGAGUCGUAGUUGUACCUAACUUCGCUCAUUACUAUUAUCUAAAACUGCAAGUGGUACCGUUACCGUGUAGACUACGGAAAAUACUGCUAGGUCUGUAGAAGAAGGAGAGUUGGGUGGUCCAGAUAGUCUGGUAGUGGAAUGUAUGAGUGACGACCGAAUAAAAUGGUAAUGGUACUAUCAGUAAAAGAAAAGACUUAAACCACAUACAUCGAUCCUUCGAUAGGGCCAUGACCAUUCUACUUGGAUUAACCAGUCCCGUCACCGCUUCCUUGUUGCGAGUUGGACGGUAACGGGCCACCGAGUCCACUGAUGAGUUACUCCACGCGGAAACUACUCCAGUAACGAGGUAGACGCGUCGCCAAGUUCGGGCUAUAGUAGGAGCAAAGUCGACCGAUGCUGCGCGUGCGCGACCUGGGAGAUCGCCCAGACGUCAAGUGCUGCCCGUGCAAGAUGUACGACCGCAGCUCGUAGUUCGUCGACCGGUCCCUCGACACGUCGCCGGCGACGCAGAAGAAGGACCUUCCACCAAUGUUGGACGUCAGCGAGAGGUCGAGACACCGACUGUGGAAGGCGCGCAAGGAGCUGCUCGGGUCGGAGCGACGAGUCAAACUGCUGGGCUGUUACAACAUACUCCUCGGCUGCGCCUCCUAGUUCCUCCGCUAACUCUUCCAGUCCGUAGAAGUGAGCGAGAUCCAAUGCGCGGCCCUCUACUCCACAUCUGAGAUAGCGAACGUCGCGUGCGUGGUACUUUAGUCUAGUGCACAACGUAAACGUCCAAGUCUCUCACCCACACACACAAACUUUGUAGACGAACGACCAGUAUGUGUGAACCAAUUGACGACAGUUUUCGUACCUAAGUAAUCCCUAGGACGUGUGUAUUAUGUUGACCCAGUAUGUAUCUUAACACACACACGCACACACAUACAUAAAUAACACCUAGUACGCACAUAUAUUAUGACGUAAAACGGGAAGGUUUUUUUAAUGCAAUAGAUAGAGAUUGAGGAAUACCG
rnacentral:rRNA from 1 species